rnacentral:rRNA from 1 species
GAUGAACGCUAGCUACAGGCUUAACACAUGCAAGUCGCGGGGCAGCAUGGGGGUUGCUUGCAAUCCCCGAUGGCGACCGGCGCACGGGUGAGUAACGCGUAUCCAACCUGCCCUUCACCACGGGAUAACCCGGCGAAAGUCGGACUAAUACCGUAUGUUGUCCAUUGACGGCAUCCGAUUUGGACGAAAGGCUUGGCGGUGAGGGAGGGGGAUGCGUCCGAUUAGCCAGACGGCGGGGUAACGGCCCACCGUGGCUACGAUCGGUAGGGGUUCUGAGAGGAAGGUCCCCCACACUGGAACUGAGACACGGUCCAGACUGCUACGGGAGGCAGCAGUGAGGAAUAUUGGUGAAUGGACGUAAGCCUGAACCAGCCAAGUAGCGUGCAGGAGGACGGCCCUAUGGGUUGUAAACUGCUUGUAUGCGGGGAUAAAGUGGCACAAGUGUGGGCUUUUGCAGGUACCGAAUGAAUAAGGACCGGCCAAUUCCGUG